GACGAACGCUUGCGGCGUGCUUAACACCUGCAAGUCGAACGAAGUGGCGAACGGGUGAGUAAUACGUGGGUAACCUGCCCUCCUUUUUGGGAUAAGCCUUGGCAACGGGGUCUAAUCCCGAAUACAGGGGGAUGGUCUCGCGGCCUAUCAGCUUGUUGGUGGGGUGAUGGUCUACCAAGGCGGUGACGGGUAGCCGGCCUGAGAGGGGGAACGGACACAUGGGGACGGAGAUACGGCCCAGACGCAUACGGGAGGAAGAAGUGGGGGAUAUUGCAAAAGGGGCGAAAGACGGAUGCAGCGACGCGGCGGGGGGGAAGAAGGCUUUAGGGUGGUAAACAGCAGUCGCGAGCGAGCGGGUAGGUGGAGAAGAAGCGCCGGCUAACUACGUGCCAGCAGCCGCGGUAAUAC
rnacentral:rRNA from 1 species